rnacentral:lncRNA from 1 species
UUCGACCACAUCGCUGGAUUAGCAUAGAUUAUUAUUAUUGUAACAUCCUUAUCUGCUCCACUUUGUCUAAACCAUAAACUCACCUUUAAAACUUUCCCAUAUAAGUCUCUCACAACUCCGAGGUAUCAAACACUCAAAGCUUCUUUGCUCAAAAAAGUAGAGAGAAAAAAAAAAGCACCCAAGGUCCUUUUGCUUUUAUUAUCAAUUUCCUUGUCUGUGUUCAGGUGUUAAAAGAAGAAGUCAUGUCUGGGAUUGUGCUUAUGUGGGCUACUGACCUUGCCAAGCUACGUAAAAAAGAUCAGACCAUCUGGUCAAGCAACUCGAGCUCUACCACUACUUCUGAGUCCGGCAAACUGGCUCGAUCAGAGGGAGUCUCCCUGACUGAGUCAUUGGCUGCUUUUGUUCAGGGCAUGCGAGUCAAAUCAUCUGGCUUGCCAUAUUCUGAGGCUGCACUUUCUAUGCUUGUUGAUUGCUUCAGUGCUUGAUGAGGAUUCUUCAAACCCAUAUCUUUCUUUUUUAAAAAAGAAACUCUGUUCUGCUCUUUGUAAAAAUGGAUUCUAAAUUUUCUAAUGAAGUUAUAGUUAGUAGCCAUCUUGAGAUCUAUAUAAAUACGUAGAGUUUUAGCUUAAAAAUUUUGGAAUAGCUAAUGAUUAAUGAGUAAAAUAUUAAUUUUAAAUUUUAAAUAAAUACAAAAUUAUAGAACUCUUAAACCUCACAAAGAGAAUCUCCCACUUCAAAGAAGGAUCCGUACACAGAAAAAUUUAAUAUGAAGCAAAUCAAUCCUCUUAAUUUGCCUAAUGGAGGAAUUCAAUCACAAUCUGAUAUGAAAAAAUUAACUCAUAAUUCCUUAAAUCAUCUCCCUGAAAUUAUGAACCCAUGAUGCAUGCUUCACAAUUGAAGGGUGUUUCUCUGUGAGCCAGAUCAUUAAUGGGUUAACCUCCGCUCAAUUAUCAGUCAUUACUUCAUCUCAUGGGUCAGGAAUCAAUGGCUCUAACUCGUUGUUGUCCUUGCUGAUUAUGUUCUUAUAAUCAACUUCAUUUUAGGAACUAUUUUCUAGUUAGAGUGGAUAAAAUCUUAGGUGAAAUACAAUGAGAAAUGAUAAAUAUGGGAAGAUGUAGGAGGAUAUAAAGAUGAAAGUCAUUGAUGAAGAAGAAGAGGAAAAAGAAAACUAAUGAAAACCCCAGAUCUUGCUGUAUGAGAGUUGUUUAUCCAAUGUUUGAUGACGUACUUCUUUUUGUCGUUUGUUUCAUUGGAAAUAACGAACGUACUGUUGUUUAGACUUGAAAAUAAAUCCAUAAUUCAUAAUCCCUGUAGUUGAGGUACCCGAAUUAUUUAUUAGGAAAUUGUAUUGUAUGCAAUCCCAAGUGCUCUAAUGCCUACUAUAUUGCGAUAACCACCGACUCCAAGCUACCUGCGCCUGCGGUAUUGAGACACUCAGAUUCCUUCCUUGUGGACAGAUAAAUUCGACCACAACGUUGACAGAUUAUUAUUAUUAUAACAUCCUUAUCUGCUCCUUUGUCUAAACCAUAAACCCACCUUUAAAACCUUUCUAUAUAAGUCUGUCACAACUCCAAAGUAUCAAACACCCAAAGCUUCUUUGUUCCCAAAAAAAAAAAAAAGCACUCAAGGUCCUUUUGCUUUUAUUGUCACUUUCCUUGUCUGUUUCAGGCGUCAAAGGAAGAAGAAGUCAUGUCUGGGCUUGUGGAUAUCUGGACUGCUGAGCUUGCCAAGCUACGUGAAAAAGGUCAGACCCUCUGGUCAGGCAACUCGAGCCCUACCGCUACUUCCGAGUCUAGCAAACUGGCUCGAUCAGAGGGAGCCACCCUGGCUGAGUCAUUGGCUACUUUUGUUCGAGGCAUGCGAGUGAAAUCACCUGGCUUGCCAUAUUCUGAGGCUGCACUUUCUAUGCUUGUGGACUGCUUCAGUGCUUGAUGAGGAUUCUUCAGACCCAUCUUUCCUUUGUUCUUCUGUUCUGCUCUUUGUAAACGGAUCCUAAACUUUCUAAUGGAGUUGUACUUGGUAGCUACCUUGAAAUCUAUAUAAAUACGUUGAGUUUUAACUUUGAACAGUAGAAUAAAAUUGACUUCAUCCUAUGUGAUGUCGAUUUUGGCUUCUG